rnacentral:lncRNA from 1 species
UACCUCCCAAGGAAAAUCCCGAAUCGGAUCCCAAAUUGACGGGUUAGUGUGAGCUUAUCCAUGCGGUUAUGCACUCUUCGAAUAGGAAUCCAUUUUCUGAAAGAUCCUGGCUUUCGUGCUUUGGUGGGUCUCCGAGAUCCUUUCGAUGACCUAUGUUGUGUUGAAGGGAUAUCUAUAUGAUCCGAUAUGAUUCGAUCGAUUGCGUAAAGCCCGCGGUAGCAACGGAACCGCGGAAAGUAUACAGAAAAGACAGUUCUUUUCUAU